GUUCAUAAGCUCGGAACGCAGCUGCCUCUUUGCUAUUGGUGGAGAGAUGGAGGACUCGUCAUCUGUCACGUCCCAGAGUUCCCAGUCCCAUGUCAGCCAGAGAACAGCAGCACCCAGCCUCAGAAAGAACAGCUCACCUGCUACCAUCAGGAAGAAGCCCUCCAUCUCUCCCAAACCACCAGUGCUGGCUGCUCCUCAGAGCCUGCAAAAGAUCAAAGAAAACCGACGGCCAGUACUUUCUUCACAGGGCAAAGAAGUGGUUGCUAUAGGAAAUCAACAGAAGUUUAACCUGUGGAUUCAACGGUCAGAUUGAUGGUGCAGCCUACUGUGACCGUCCUGUGGAUCUCUGAGGAGUGAUGAUGGAGUGCAGUCAAGCUGACCAUCCUGGCAUGAAGAAGGUUUGAAUUAAAAACGCUUGUGAUAACAGAUACGGUAACUAAGACCUCUAGUUGACAAGCACUGGAGAGAAAGCCACUUUUGUUUUUAAAGAGCUACUGUAUCUGGAAUAUUCUAGCUGAAAUAUCAUGAAAAAUGAACACCUGAUGAACUGUGGUUAGCUUAAAGGGUAUCCAUUCAUCUGAUAAUACUACUUGAACAACCACUUCUUUAUCAGCUACUGCUUUAACUGAAUGACUAUGCGUUUGAC
ensembl:lncRNA